rnacentral:rRNA from 1 species
AUUGAACGCUGGCGGCAUGCUUUACACAUGCAAGUCGAACGGUAACAGGUUAAGCUGACGAGUGGCGAACGGGUGAGUAAUGCAUCGGAACGUGCCCGGUCGUGGGGGAUAACGCAGCGAAAGCUGCGCUAAUACCGCAUACGAUCUGAGGAUGAAAACGGGGGACCGUAAGGCCUCGCGCGAUUGGAGCGGCCGAUGUCAGAUUAGGUAGUUGGUGGGGUAAAGGCUCACCAAGCCAACGAUCUGUAGCUGGUCUGAGAGGACGACCAGCCACACUGGGACUGAGACACGGCCCAGACUCCUACGGGAGGCAGCAGUGGGGAGCUUUGGACAAUGGGCGAAAGCCUGAUCCAGCAAUGCCGCGUGCAGGAAGAAGGCCUUCGGGUUGUAAACUGCUUUUGUACGGAGCGAAAAGGUCUCCUCUAAUACAGGGGGCUCAUGACGGUACCGUAAGAAUAAGCACCGGCUAACUACGUGCCAGCCGCCGCUGUAA